AUUGAAGAUUCGGAAGUUAAAGGUCAUAUUACUGUGAGAUCAGUUCAUAUAGAUGAAUUUGUUGAUCCACCAAUAGAGACCAACCCAUCGGAACAUGAUACGGUUCCAGUAGCGGAAAUUGACAGUUUUUUCACUGGCCGUGAUAAUCCACAAGAUCUUGAUUGGGAUGAAGAAUAUGUUUAUCAAAAAAUAAAACAAAUAUGCGUAGGAGGUGUUAGAAUAACAUUCAGAGAUCUAGCACCUAUACCUGAAACACAGAGAAAAAAUCGUGUCUAUGCUUUUGCACAUAUUACGAAUUUGGCUAAUGCCAACAAAAUAUGUAUAGAACAAGACUGUGAAACAAAGGUCAUCACCAUAUGGCUCUCUACGGAUGAGUGAGUUUUUAAAUAAAAGUACAUACUCAUUUUCUACAAUAUUUUUACUAUGAU